GAUGAUUCAAAUUAAAAAUAACAAAUUCAAAAUAAGAAGUCUUCAUUGAGCUUGUAUAAUAGGAAAAAAAGAAAUAGAGAAAGUUUAUGUCACUCUGGAUACUUGCUUUUCCAGCAGGAUUAGAUGAGCUGCCUCUGAAGAAGCCCAUCCCAUCCCCUUGACUCUAAACAGAGCUGAGGCAACAUGUGUCUAACUUUCAGAUAGCUAAACAUGGCCAAGGAAAGUCCACCUGUAGUCCUCUAAGUCCCUUGACUUUCCCUUCGAUGCCUUUGAAGAAUGUUUGCCUUCUCUGCGCUCACAAGCACUUCACCGUCAGUGGGAAACAGGCAAUUGAUUGAUGUACAAGCCACUUCCCUCUGGGCUUGAACUGUGAAGGACGUGGUCAUCCACAGCUGUAGUAACUCUGAGAUGGCAGAGGAAGUGAAGGAGUGAGCAGGAAAAGGAAGCAAAUAUGCACAAAAUCCAUUUACUUUCUCAGCUGCAACUGGAAGUGUGUCAGGAGGGAACUCACGAAAGCUGGAAGAACUGGGUGGACAUGCUUGGAGGCAGGAAGUUGUGUAUUCAUAGAAGAGCUGUAGAACUUGGUCCCCUGCUUUAAACAGUGGCAUCUACCAAGGAAACAUUCCAAAGACCGUUUUUAACAAGUCGUGCAGCUUCGCAAUGCAAAAGGCAGAGCUAACGACCCGAAGUCCAUGCUGUGGGUGUCUGUGGGAGCCAUGAGUGCAGUGGUAGCACGGGGCCCCAGCCCAGCAGCC
rnacentral:lncRNA from 1 species